rnacentral:rRNA from 1 species
UCCUACGGGGGGCAGCAGUGGGGAAUAUUGCACAAUGGGGGAAACCCUGAUGCAGCGACGCCGCGUGAGUGAAGAAGUAUUUCGGUAUGUAAAGCUCUAUCAGCAGGGAAGAAAUAGCGACCUUUGGGUCGCCAGACGGUACCUGACUAAGAAGCCCCGGCUAACUACGUGCCAGCAGCCGCGGUAAUACGUAGGGGGCAAGCGUUAUCCGGAUUUACUGGGUGUAAAGGGAGCGUAGACGGCAGCACAAGUCUGAAGUGAAAGCCCAAGGCUCAACCAUGGGACUGCUUUGGAAACUGUUAAGC